rnacentral:RNase_P_RNA from 1 species
AAAAGGCAAUCGCGGCGUCCUUUAAGGACGGUGAGGAAAGUCCGAGCUCCAAAGGGCAGAGUGCCGGAUAACGUCCGGCGAGAGAAAUCUCAGGGAUAGUGCCACAGAAAAGUGUACCGCCAGGCUUUUGUCUGGUAAGGGUGGAACGGUGCGGUAAGAGCGCACCAGCAAGUAAGUAAUUACUUGGCUUGGUAAACCCCACUCGGAGUAAGACCAAAUAGGGAAGGGAUGAUGUUGCCCGCUGAUCCUUCCGGGUUGUGUCGCUGUAACCGGGGAGUAAUCUCUGGUAUAGAUAAAUGAUUGCCACCGCUUGUCGGAACAGAACUCGGCUUAUUGACUA